rnacentral:misc_RNA from 1 species
GAUGAAGAACGUAGCGAAAUGCGAUAAGUAAUGUGAAUUGCAGAAUUUAGUGAAUCAUCGAAUCUUUGAACGCAUAUUGCGCCCGCCAGCACUCUGGCGGGCAUGCCUGUUCGAGCGUCAUUUCAACCCUCAGGCCUCGCGUCUGGCGUUGGGGCGCUGCGGCCCUCCCGCAGGCCCCCAAAUUUAGCGGCGGAUUCCCCGCGGCCCUGAGCGCAGUAGAGAGUAAAAACUUUAACGCUCCGGCGGCCGUGGGGCGGUUCUGCCUCUUUCCCAAUAGCGCCAAUAGCGCCACCCCCAAAAAAGUUGACCUCGGAUCAGGUAGGACUACCCGCUGAACUUAAGCAUAUCAAUAAGCGGAGGA